AGACAACGGCGGUGGAGAUGUAGCCAUCCGGGGCGGACAGCCCCAACUCCCCAGUCUGCUGCGGGGAGGACCGUGGCUGUGGACGCGGAGGACAACUGUGUGCCGAGGCGCGGGGGGAAAAACACAAGAGGACCCGUUAGAAUUAAAAAAUGGACGGUGCCGGCGGGACGUCACGAUGCGCCGUCGCCACAAAGCUCAUGAACGCGCUCAUUUGGCUCCCAGCAUGCCGCACGUCCGGAGGGACCGCUGGUCACCGGGAGCUCAUCUGAAAAGCCAGUGAAACCCACCCUGCUGACCUGCACCCAAGGAGGAGAAAACUCACUUGGAAGCAUCACGAGUGAAGUUCAAGGUUUCCUCCAAACUUCCAGGUGUGUGUCAGAGGCUGUGUGUGUGUGUGUGUGUGUGUGUGUGUGUGUGUGUGUGUGUGUGUGUGUGUGUGUGUGUGUGUGUCGCCGGACAGACGGUGCGUUCGCAGGCCCGAGGGGUUGUCUGUUAUCUUUGGUUAUCUAGCUGUAUGAGUGACGUACAUUCUUCAUAAAGCUAGAUAACCGAAAGUAACAAGAAUCCCAUUACACGCCUGCGCGGGAAAAAGACAAAACAACAGAAGAGAGGAAAGAAGAAUAAAAAAAAGCAGAUUAAGAAGCAGCUAAAGAGAACGGAGGGCUGGAGGUGAAGGAUGGAUGCUGCUAACCAAUGACGUGAAGGUUUCUGAUCUGAAGUUGGGAAGCACCUGAUCUGAGGACUUUGAGUCAAUGAUGUCCUUUUAACGGAGGACUGCAUCAUCAUUAACCGUCAUCAUUAACCUGGAGGAAGCAGCACAAACGCUGCGACAGAUUCUGAUGCAGGAGUCUGUGUUUGUCUGCCGCUGCUGCGACAGAACAUCGUUAUCUGACGACAGAGAGACACACGGAGACACAACACUUUAAAUCCGAGUGAACGAACGGACGCUCGGCCGUCGUGAGGCUGAGACUCGGUGAAGGACGACGCUGUGGAUACGUUGUGUGUUUAUGUUUCGUACGCCGUGUUCCUGGGAGCUGCUCUGCACAGCUGUUCAGGAAACAUCUGCACUAGAUUUCAAUAUAGGUCAGAGCUUAGAUCGGUCGCUCGCUCUGUCAAACGCACAAAAAUCACUCAGAUUUAUGUACAUUUACUGAAAAAAAUAGAGCAAUGAUUGUUAGUAUUAUACUUAGGUUAGAAGUUUAUCCUUGUUUAGAUGACAGCUUUAUCCUAGAGUAGAACAUUUAAAUGCCUGUUUUUUUUAAUAUGAAUUUAAAUUUCUUUUUCAUGUCUCUUUAAUUUUAUUUGUUUCUAAAUGUUUUGGCUGAAAAUUUGUGUUAAAUUUUGAAUGGUUCAACCAAAUUGUUGACAAUCUGUGUGACUGGAUUACUUGAAAGCCCCGAAAUAGACAUUUAUCAAGCGCAAAACAUGAAUUUUUUACCAGUUCUUCUAAAUAUAUAACUGUUUUCAUGCACAGACAAGAGUGUACAGUACUGUUUGAAAAAUCUUCUCCUCCUCAGACUGUUUUUUAUGCAUCUCUUUAAUGGCAGCAACAUUUUUAUUGCUCAGAAUGUUUAAAAAAAAAGCUAAAUAAUUUGGAAUGCACUAGUUGAUUAUGCAGUUCUAAUAUUGUUCUUUCAGUAUGUAAAUCUCAACAGUAUCAUAAGACUGGAGCAGCCUCAGUGGUCUUUUACAAUCUUUACAUUCAUGACACACACUUCUAAAUCAAGAUGGCAACAAUCACUGCAGGAAAUACAGUAUUUUUAUGUGUUAAAUAUGCAAAGGAGAGUGAGUGGGUGGUGUUAAAUUUGCAGCGUUGUCUUUGCACGUGUGUAUUGUUGUUAAGUUUGCACAUUAGUGUUUUAAUGUACGGGUUCAGUGUGGGUGAUGUGUGUUGAACCGCUAACAUGCACUAUAGGAGCACAGGUGCAAUGGGUGCGCUUUUUGUUUUUCAGUUAGUUUAAGUAGAAGCACUUAAUACAGACAGUUGUUAGUGGAGGAUUUGUGGUGUUUUAGUUGAUUUAAUCAGUAAUUGUUGCACUGUCAGUCUCAGAGACUCAAAUCUGCGUUUGUUCCACAACUUUUGUGACAAUGUGAUGCAAGAACUCUACUGCACUUGUUUUGUUUUCAUGUGUGAAUUUGUGCAAUAUUUGAAUUUUUAGAUGGAAUGAUGUGAACGAGUGAAUUUAUUAAUGUGCACUAUGAACUGCUGUCUCAGGACUUUUAAAAGCUGGAUUUGCACGUGAGCUACUUUGUACUAUGCAACUGUUUCUAUUGCAACUAAUAUAAUCAAUAAAGGUAUUGAUGUUUACAGCGAAA